rnacentral:rRNA from 1 species
UACGUAGGGUGCGAGCGUUGUCCGGAAUUAUUGGGCGUAAAGAGCUUGUAGGUGGCUCGUCGCGUCGGGAGUGAAAACCCGCGGCUUAACCGCGGGCCUGCUUUCGAUACGGGCGGGCUAGAGUUCGGCAGGGGAGACUGGAAUUCCUGGUGUAGCGGUGGAAUGCGCAGAUAUCAGGAGGAACACCGGUGGCGAAGGCGGGUCUCUGGGCAGUAACUGACGCUGAGGAGCGAAAGCGUGGGGAGCGAACAGG